AACUUUUAAAGGAUAACAGUUAAUCCACUGGU
rnacentral:tRNA from 1 species